CCUCGGGCCCGGCCUUCCCUGACGCGGGCGGGGAGGCCCCUUGGGGAAGCCCGUGCCCCGUGCCCAGCCCGGCCCUGGGCGCCUCACCUGAGAGCAGGUGACGGCCACCAGCGAGCGCUGGCUCAUCCCCACCAUCUGCCGGCCCCCCACCAACACGAUGACCUCGGCCACACCUGCGGGGACACGGACGGGCGCCGUGGGACCCACCCCUCUCGGGGGCCCCGCAGAGUCGGGCUGACCUCCAGGCGCCUGCGCUCGGGGGCUGGGGGCGCCGUCCCUCUACCUGCCGAGAGGCGGGGCCGGGUCCGGGGCGUCUGCAUCUCCUGGCGCGCGUGGGGCAGCAUGUGGUAGCGCUUGGCCUCGUUGACCAGGUCCCGGCAGGCCUCGGAGGACUUGAUGAGCUCCUCGUUGUCAACCACGUUGAGCAGCUCCUCGGCCUUGGUGUUGAGGCUGUCGUUGGAGACGUAGGCGAUGAAGUCAUCCUUGGAGAUGCUGAGGAUCUCCUCCUGGGCCGCCACCUCGGGGAAGAUCUGCAGCGCGAACGCCUUAGCCAUGUGGUAGAGCUCGCUGCACUGCAUGGCCUCGGCCAUGGCCAGCACCCCCAGGCAGUUGCUGGCCGUCAGCUGCUUCUCUGCGGGGACAGCGCGGUGUCACCCACCAAGAGGCCCUGGGUGGGGGACUAGCACCUCUUCCCCUUGCCUGGCCCCCUUCCUGGGCCCCCGCAGACCCAGCUCUGGGGGUUCUGCCUGGGCCCCCCACCUCCUGUCAGUUCUCACAGCAGGACCAAGACCAGGAGGGCGGGAGUUUGGGGGGGCGGCCUGGAGCCCCUCUCUGGCUCUGCUCUGCAGGGGGCCUGGAGGCCAAAGGUCACAGGGAGGCUCACGGCAUCUUCCGUAAUUGUGCCAGGCCACAGGUUCCCCGUGACUCUGCUCUCUACCCCUUCCUCUCCCUGCUCCUACCAGGCUGGGCAGCGCGGAAUUACAAAGUCAGAGUGACGCUUGCAUUGGGGCCUCCUGGAAGCUCCUGACACUGGCUCCCAUCCUGGACAGCAUGUCUGGGGGUGCGAGGGGCAGUUCAGCUGCUCCUCCCAUCCAUCCAUUGGGGGUGGACCAGAUAUUAAAUAA